rnacentral:misc_RNA from 1 species
UCCGGCUUAUCACCGGCAGUUUCUUUAGAGUGCUCAACUAAAUGGUAGCAACUAAAGACGAGGGUUGCGCUCGUUGCGGGACUUAACCCAACAUCUCACGACACGAGCUGACAACAGCCAUGCAGCACCUGUGUGGGAAGCUCCCUUGCGGGAGAAGGACGAUCUCUCGUCCGGGCUUCCCCAUGUCAAGCCUUGGUAAGGUUCUUCGCGUUGCGUCGAAUUAAACCACAUGCUCCACCGCUUGUGCGGGCCCCCGUCAAUUCCUUUGAGUUUUAAUCUUGCGACCGUACUCCCCAGGCGGGGCACUUAAUGCGUUAGCUGCGGCACCCAGGGGGUCAAUACCCCGGACACCUAGUGCCCAUCGUUUACGGCGUGGACUAC